CGCAGACGAGGUGGCGAAGGCGGCGGGCGCGGGGGCGAGGGAACCCCGGGCGGGACCGGGAACCAGAGGGCGCUCCCUCCUAGCGCCCGGACCCGGGUAACUUCCCGUCGCCCGGCACGGAGUUUCCUUGCUGCCCACGACAGGAGGCGGCUUGGAGGGCAAGCGGGGUAAACCCCCACGCCCAUCCCACCUUUAUCCAGGGGGAACCAGAGGAGCCAGCAGGUUCGGACUCACUGAGAGGGCUCCACGCGGGGCCUCCCACGCACAGAGCUAGCUGAGAAGCUAGCAAAGGAGAGAUUCCUUUCAUCUGGUCUCGGCCCUAGUCAGGUUGGGAUUGCUCAGCUGCCUCCCCAGGCCAUUUGUGUCCAGUCUUCGGAGUCCAGUUCUCAACACUGGCUACACUUUUAACACGUGGGGAGUUUUAAAAGUAUAUAUGCUGGAGCUUCCCUGGCGGCUCAGUGGCAAAGAACCUGCCUACCAAUGCUGGAGACAUGGGUUUGAUCCCUGAUCCUGAAGGAUCCCACGUGUUGUGGAGCAACUAAGCUGUGCCCUGCCACUAUUGAGCCUGUGCUCUAGACCCUGAGAGCCGAGACUGCUGAGCCAUGUGCUGCAACUACUGAAGCCCGCACACCCUAGAGCAGUGCUCACAGACAAGAGGAGCCACCGCACCACAGCCGAGAGUAGUCCCCGCUCGCCGCAACUGGGGAAAAGCCUGCGCAUCGGCAGAGACCCAGCACAGCCUGAAGAGUGGAAUUUGCUGUCUCGCGCCCUGAAGCUCUCCUCCAGCUGUGAUCCUGUGGAAGCCAGUGGACCUCGGCUGGGCUGUCUGUCCAUCCCGGGCACUGCUGGGCAGCCUGGCUCCUUGGCCCUGCUCUGCUUUUUCAAACUGGAGUCUUCAGCUCAGCUGUCAGAGAUGUGUGAUCAUGAAGUCUCUGUGGGCACCAGUAGUGACUCUGCAAAGCCCAGAGCUCUGUGAGGACACCUUCAGACCCUGGCGCACCCACGUGAGCCUGCAGCUCGUGACUGAUCUCAGUGCAAAACCACAAGGGCCAUGUCAGCUGGGAACUGCGGUCUCUAAUGAUGCCACUUGUUGGGCCCGUCCCUUGACCACGCUGAAUUCCAGGCUCUCAUCCAUAACAGGGAAAUAAGACCCAUUUUAUCUCUUACUGUGGGUUAUUGUCAAUCAAGAGACCAUGAAAGUGCUUUGAAAAAGAAAAAGCAAUAUUCAGAUUCAAAGGAUUAGAAUCACUUUUUUUUCACUGUGAGGGUUUUCAAGGUUCAAACAAAAAGGAUUUAUACGUUUUACUAUUUAAUAAUGAAGUCAAAUGUAUCAGAAGUUUGAUAAAACACCAUAGUUGAGUAUGCUGUUUAAUCACUAAGUCAUGUCCGACUCUUUGUGAACCCAUAGACUGUAGCCCACUGCGCCUCUCUGUCCAUAGGCUUUCCCAGGCAAGAAUACUGGCAUGGGUUGCCAUUUCCUUCUCCAGGGGGUCUUCCCAACCAUGGGGAUUGAAUCUGGGUCUCCUGCUUGGCAGGCAGAUUCUUUACCACUGAGCCACCUGGGAAGUAUAGCAAGCACUGUUCACUGUAUUCACAAGUAUUCACUGUAUUUCUCCUCUUUUUCUUCUGAGCUCACAGAACCCCAAUUCUUUCAGGAAAGAACAAAGCUUCCUUUCAUCUGCCUUGAUCUCCCCCAGACCCAGGGGCAGACCUAUGAUUUGUCUUAUCAUUCAUGGCAAUCACCUUCCAUGUGGCCCGUGAUGGGUUUAAGGAUAUUUCCCAGUUCCAGUCAAUGAGAAAUAAGGGAAACUGUGACUUCUCUUGGAGAAGGCAAUGGCACCCCACUCCAGUGUUCUUGCCUGGAAAAUCCCGUGGAUGGAGGAGCCUGGUGGGCUGCCGUCUAUGGGGUCACACACAGUCGGACACGACUGAAGCAACUUAGCAGCAGCAGCAGCAGCACUGACUUCGCUUUCCCAACUUGAAAUACAAUCUCAAGAGGAGAAAAUCAGGGGACUUCCCUGCUGGUCCAGUGGUUAAGACUGAGCUUCCACUGCAGGGGGACACUGAUUUGAUUCCUGGUACGGGAACUAAGAUCCCAUAUGCCACAUGGCUUGGUGAAAAAAAAAGAGAGAGAAAAUCUUUUGCCUCUGCCCUGCCCUUUGUGAGGUCCUGGUGCCUGGAGAAGUAGCUUCCAUCUUUCAACCAUGAAGCAAUGAGCACAAGGGCACAAUGGAAGAACAGAGAAUCAGAGGAAACAGGAUUCUUGAAGAUGUCUCCAAGCUACUGCAACCGUCCUCCUCCAGUUAUGAGACAAUGAAAUGCCCUUAAUGCUUGAGUCAGUGUUACUUGCUGCCAACUGCAUAUGUAAAUCAGUACAAUCUCUGAGGAAUGUAGCUUGACAAUGUGUUUCUAUUUUGAAUGCACAUACCCUUGAAUUCAACAAUUCUAUUUAUCAAGAAAUAUCCCACAAAUAUACUCACACUGUGCUCAAAUAAGUACUUUUGAGUCUAUUAAUUAACAACAUUAUGUAUCUAACAAUAUGGUUAGAUUGAUUAUGGUGCAUCUGUAUAAAUGAAACAUACGCUGACUCUAAAAUGAUUGGCACAACCCUGUGUAUUGGUAAGAAAUUGUAUUCUAGAUAUAUUAGGUGAAAGAAGUGAGAUAAAUAAUGGUUGAAAUUGGGCAAUGGUACAUGGACAUUUGUAAUGCCAUUUUUCCUUAUAAGUGUAUUGUGGAGAUUUAAACUUUUCAAAAAAAAAAAAAAAGCAGAGGCAAGGGG
ensembl:lncRNA